AUUGAACGCUGGCGGCAUGCUUUACACAUGCAAGUCGAACGGUAACAGGUUAAGCUGACGAGUGGCGAACGGGUGAGUAAUGCAUCGGAACGUGCCCGAUCGUGGGGGAUAACACUUCGAAAGAAGUGCUAAUACCGCAUACGAUCUGAGGAUGAAAGCGGGGGACCGUGAGGCCUCGCGCGAUCGGAGCGGCCGAUGUCAGAUUAGGUAGUUGGUGGGGUAAAGGCUCACCAAGCCGACGAUCUGUAGCUGGUCUGAGAGGACGACCAGCCACACUGGGACUGAGACACGGCCCAGACUCCUACGGGAGGCAGCAGUGGGGAAUUUUGGACAAUGGGCGAAAGCCUGAUCCAGCAAUGCCGCGUGCAGGAAGAAGGCCUUCGGGUUGUAAACUGCUUUUGUACGGAGCGAAAAGGCUCUCUCUAAUACAGGGGGCUCAUGACGGUACCGUAAGAAUAAGCACCGGCUAACUACGUGCCAGCCGCCGCGGUAA
rnacentral:rRNA from 1 species